UACGUAGGGUGCAAGCGUUGUCCGGAAUUAUUGGGCGUAAAGAGCUCGUAGGCGGUCUGUCGCGUCGGCUGUGAAAUCCCGAGGCUCAACCUCGGGUCUGCAGUCGAUACGGGCAAACUAGAGUAUUGCAGGGGAGACUGGAAUUCCUGGUGUAGUGGUGAAAUGCGCAGAUAUCAGGAGGAACACCGGUGGCGAAGGCGGGUCUCUGGGCAAUAACUGACGCUGAGGAGCGAAAGCGUGGGGAGCGAACAGG
rnacentral:rRNA from 1 species